AUGCAUAGAUAUGAUACAGAACACCGAUAGCGAAGGCAGCUUACCAAACUGUAACUGACGCUCAUGCACGAAAGCGUGGGGAGCAAACAGGAUUAGAUACCCUGGUAGUCCACGCUGUAAACUAUGAUCACUCGCUGUUGGCGAUACACUGUCAGCGGCUUAGCGAAAGUGUUAAGUGAUCCACCUGGGGAGUACGAUCGCAAGGUUUGAAACUCAAAGGAAUUGACGGGGGCCCGCACAAGCGGAGGAGCAUGUGGUUUAAUUCGAUGAUACGCGAGGAACCUUACCUGGGCUUAAAUGCAGAACGACCUCCCGAGAAAUCGGGACUUCCUUCGGGACGGACUGCAAGGUGCUGCAUGGUUGUCGUCAGCUCGUGCCGUGAGGUGUCGGGUUAAGUCCCAUAACGAGCGCAACCCUUAUCCUUAGUUGCCAACAGGUAAUGCUGGGAACUCUAAGGAAACUGCCUACGCAAGUAGUGAGGAAGGUGGGGAUGACGUCAAAUCAGCACGGCCCUUAUGUCCAGGGCUACACACGUGCUACAAUGGUCGGUACAGAGGGCAGCUACCUGGCAACAGGAUGCUAAUCUCGAAAGCCGAUCUCAGUUCGGAUUGGAGUCUGCAACUCGACUCCAUGAAGUUGGAUUCGCUAGUAAUCGCGCAUCAGCCAUGGCGCGGUGAAUACGUUCCCGGGCCUUGUACACACCGCCCGUCAAGCCAUGGAAGCUGGGAGUACCUGAAGUCUG
rnacentral:rRNA from 1 species